rnacentral:rRNA from 1 species
CUACGGGCUGCACCAGUGAGGAAUAUUGCACAAUGGGGGAAACCCUGAUGCAGCAACGCCGCGUGGAGGAUGACGCAUUUCGGUGUGUAAACUCCUUUUAUAUGUCAAGAAAAUGACGGUAGCAUAUGAAUAAGCACCGGCUAACUCCGUGCCAGCAGCCGCGGUAAUACGGAGGGUGCAAGCGUUAUUCGGAAUCACUGGGCGUAAAGGACGCGUAGGCGGGUUUGCAAGUCAGGUGUGAAAUCCUAUGGCUCAACCAUAGAACUGCACUUGAAACUGCGAACCUAGAGUAUGGAAGGGGCAGAUGGAAUUAGUGGUGUAGGGGUAAAAUCCGUAGAUAUCACUAGGAAUACCAAAAGCGAAGGCGAUCUGCUGGGACAUUACUGACGCUAAGGCGUGAAAGCGUGGGGAGCAAACAGGAUUAGAUACCCCAGUAGUC